AUGGUGUAUAUUACAGAGCAGCGAGCCAUCAUUAGGUUAAACCUAAGCAGAUGGCAUGCAAUCACGAUGCAAAGACGAGAGAAGACAUGGAAACGAAAACAAAAUAAAGGAAAGAAAAACAAAAAAAGAAGAGGAAGAAGGCUGAUUAUAAUCACCUCAAGGAAAUUUAUCACCAUAAUCAGUUGUACCCAGAGAAGUCAUGAGUGGUUAGUGCGGGUGAUAGAGUUACACAUGCUGUUAGCCCACCACGCUCGGAUCGGGCGAGACUUCAAGUAUUGAUAGUAUGAUCUACGGCAAACUACACAGAAUGGCCAUUUGUGUGGUCAUGUAUGAUCAAGCGGGCUAUUUCUCUAGGAAACUGAUCAAAUUUCCCAAUCAACAGUACACAAGACAAGACAAUGCCUAUUAUUAAAAGCCUGUUUGCUUGGAUCUGGUGUUUUCACACAAAUACUGUUUAAAUAACGGUUUAAAUGACAGUUUAAAACAAUGAAUUGAUGAAGAUGGUAAUAAUAAGAGUAAUAUUUACAAUACUACUAAUAAUAAUAAUACUAGCCACUGUAAAAAAAAAAAAAAAAAAAAAAAAUAAUAUAUAUGAAUUCAUAAAUUAUUUAUAAAUAUAUAAAACGUAAACUUUAAAAGACCACUGCAAAAAUGUAAAAUUAAUAAUAUGAAUAAACAUAAAAUUUAAUAUUAAUAAUAAUAGAAACAAUAAUAAAAUCAACUGUUAACAAUUUAUAAUGAAUAUAUAUAUAUAUAUAUAUAUAUAUAUAUAUAUAUAUAUGUGUGUGUGUGUGUGUGUGUGUGUGUGUGUGUGUGUGUGUGUGUCGUGUAGUUAGUUGAUGUAGUUUUCGUUGUUGCAUUUUUUUCUUAUGAUGCAUCUCACAUCUUGCAUGGUGAUGUCAGGGAACUUUGACAGAGCAUGGUCUGUGAGUUAAAAAACACACACACACAAAAACACAAACACACACACAAACAGAACAAAAUAAAACAUAGCUUAUAUUUUUUCUUACUGUCACCCCAAAUACAUCAUCCAGAAUUAACACAAUAAAACAGUCAAAGUAGCGUGUAGUGAUAUGCAAUUCAAGUUUCUGAAACUAAUGCAAUAAUUCUAUAUUUACCUAACAGACAGCUGAAAAUAGACCUUUAAAUAGUCUAACUUUACAUAAAUUAAGAUUAUUUUGGGUCGAUCAUCAAAGGGGUCUUGGUUCUUUGUUUCCUUCCAUUGUGUGAUUAUUUUCUUUUUUCUUUUGGUGACAUUCACAAAUCCAAACUGAUGAUCCCAAAUUAAACUUUUAUAGAUUAGAACUUUUCACAAAAUGUUUGGAAUGUUCCUUUUUGAUCCAUGUUUGAGGUGACAGUAAUUUAACACAAUCACUGUCACCUCCAACGUCGAACAUCAUUUUGAAAAGUAGAAAUGUAUGAGAAAUGUGUAGGAAUUUAUUUCAUUUUAAAAAUGAAAUUUCCCUUAAAUUAAAUACACUCACCAAAUAUAGCAUCAAGUUUUGUGCUAUCAAGCUGUGGCUUUGAUUCCACAUCUUUGUGUGCCCCUGACUGUCUUCCUGUCAAGCUUGAAUGAGACAGGGUUUCCCUUCCAUAGACAAGCAUGGCAAGGUCCCCGAUGUAUACUGACGGAUUUGCCUUCCACAGAGAGUUCAGCUUUCGCUUGGGGACCUUGACAUCACAGCCUGGCAUGAGAAACACCUGAAAAAUAAUUGUCAGUUUGCAACUGGGAUAUAUAUCUAUUCAUCAUCUGUGCAUUAAUGCAAAUAAACCAAGUUAUUAUUCCCCAACCAAAUAGGAAAUCUGAGAUACAUUACCACAUUUCCCAAUAAAAUGAACUAGGGUGCGAAAUGCUCCUGUGCAAUGUAAGAUCCUGUCUAAAUCCUGUCCACACUGCUUUUCCACAGCAUUAAACAUUUCAUUGGGUAAUAUGGGAAUGCUUCGUAUAUUUCCUGUGGUCAGGCAAUAUUCAUAAUAACCACUUAUCACGCACAUUCACCAUGCAAUUGAAUAUGCAGAUUUUUCAGGUAAUGUUUAUAAUUACUGCCAAGUUGAUUUACUGGGACAUUGUAUAAUCACCUUCCCACAUGGACCGUAACACUUAUAUGCAUGUGCGGUACUUACCAUAUCAUCAGACAACACUUGAGGAGAAACACAUGCAGAGUCUACUGAUGUUGAAGGUGUUGCAGAAGUGGAUGCAGUAGGUGAGGUCUGAAGUGUUAUUUGUCCAAUCACUUCUUUCAACUUCGUCACUACUGUGGGAAGCUCUGUUAAAAGAAUGGAGAUAUAAAUGAUUAUAAGAAAACUGUGAAAAGGCCUCAUAACUGCAUGUUGACACAAAUGCCAAAAAUAAAUCACUACUCACAACAAUGAAAACAUUUAAAUAUUAUUCAAAAUAAAUACUGAUUAAAUCAU
rnacentral:lncRNA from 1 species